CCUACGGGUGGCAGCAGUGGGGAAUAUUGGGCAAUGGGCGCAAGCCUGACCCAGCAACGCCGCGUGAAGGAAGAAGGCUUUCGGGUUGUAAACCUCUUUUCUCAGGGACGAAGAAAGUGACGGUACCUGAGGAAUCAGCCACGGAUAACUACGUGCCAGCCGCCGCGGUAAUACGUAGGUGGGAAGUGUUAUGCGGAUUUACUGGGUGGAAAGGGCGUGUAGGCGGGGAAGCAAGUCAGAUGUGAAAACCACGGGCUCAACCUGUGGACUGCAUUUGAAACUGUUUUUCUUGAGUACUGGAGAGGCAGACGGAAUUCCUAGUGUAGCGGUGAAAUGCGUAGAUAUUAGGAGGAACACCAGUGGCGAAGGCGGUCUGCUGGACAGCGACUGACGCUGAGGCGCGAAGGCGUGGGGAGCAAACAGGAUUAGAUACCCGAGUAGUC
rnacentral:rRNA from 1 species